rnacentral:rRNA from 1 species
AUGGCGAGGCUCCUGGUUGCACUGGUGUGUGCGUACUUGACAACGACCGUCGGAGCUAGUCUCCGGCUUGAGCUCAGUCGGCUGGAAGCGAAGGCAAGUUCACUUGCAACCGUGCGUAGGGCGAUCGCGCCCGUCCGCUGGAGGCAAGGAUGGCACGUCACCGAGUACCGGAUCGGCGACCCUCCGCAGCCGGUCCAAUCCAUUAUUGAUGUCGGCAGCGGCCUGGUGUGGACGCAGAGCGCGACGUGCCACCCCCGCUGCAUCAGCCAGGAUCUCGACUGCUACAACCCCGACCGGUCGCGCUCCGCGCACAGCGUGCCUUGCGACAACAGGACGCUGUGCGCCGCGGCGCAUGCUGGUCGAUGCACGGGCCACAACGCCGCCUGCACCAUCAUGGCCAAGAACGGCGCCGAAGGCAUUGAGCUCUGGGACCUCGCCGGAGAUCUCGGCGUGGACGUGUUCACCUUCGGUUCUGAGAAGGUAACAAUCGCGUUCGGACGCAUGCGUGAGAUUAAACUAUUCAAGCCAGAGAUCUUAGGGGGAGCUUCCGGCGUCAUCGGCCUCGGGAAGGGACCGCUCUCGCUGGUCUCCCAGCUCGGGCACACCAAAUUCUCCUACUGCUUCACCGAGGACGUCAACGCCACCAGCCACUUGGUCAUCGGUUCCUCCGCCGUCCUCGGCGACGGGCCAGUAACAUCCAUACCGUUCGUCGUCAACCCGAGCGAAGAGCCCUACAACACUUUGUACUACGUACCUCUGAUUGGGUUGUCAGUGGGUAACGUCAGACUGGCUAUCCCUACCGCGGCGUUCAACAUGCGGCGGGCCUCGCCAUGGCUGUGGACCGGCGGAACGAUCAUCGACUCCUGCAUCGAGACCAUGUUCCUCGUCGACGUGGCAUACAAGGCGCUGAGGCAGGAGGUGGCGAGGCAGAUGGACAGCAGUCUCCUGCCGACGACGAGCGAGUGGCCGGAGUACUGCGUCGACCGCUGGGAUGUGGGUGCGGUGCCGCCUUUAGUGCUGCACUUCGGCGACGGCGCAGACUUGGUGCUGCCAGCGACAAAUUACUGGAUGCCGCUCGCGGAUGACAGGACGUGCAUGGUCGUGUACAGCUCGGCGGAGAGGAAUACGACGCUGCCGAUGAAUGAGACGACGGUCAUAGGCAGUUACAUGCAGCAGGACAUGCACGUUCUCUACGACAUCGGUAAGGGCGAGAUCUCUUUCCAGGCAGCUCACUGCAGCUCCAUGUAA